rnacentral:rRNA from 1 species
UACGUAGGGAGCAAGCGUUGUCCGGAAUCAUUGGGCGUAAAGCGCGCGUAGGUGGCCUCAUAAGUCCGCUGUGAAAGUCAAAGGCUCAACCUUUGAAAGCCGGUGGAUACUGUGGGGCUAGAGUACGGAAGAGGCGAGUGGAAUUCCUGGUGUAGUGGUGAAAUACGUAGAUAUCAGGAGGAACACCGGUGGCGAAGGCGGCGACCUGGUCCAAUAUUGACACUCAUACACGAAAGCGUGGGGAUCGAACAGG